rnacentral:rRNA from 1 species
UACAGAGGGUGCAAGCGUUGUUCGGAAUUAUUGGGCGUAAAGGGCGCGUAGGCGGCCUGGCAAGUGACGGGUGAAAGCCCUCGGCUUAACCGAGGAACUGCCUGUCAGACUGUUAGGCUUGAGACCGGGAGAGGUGAGUGGAAUUCCCAGUGUAGCGGUGAAAUGCGUAGAUAUUGGGAGGAACACCAGUGGCGAAGGCGGCUCACUGGACCGGUACUGACGCUGAGGCGCGAAAGCGUGGGGAGCAAACAGG